GCUGGGUGCAGUGGUGUGUGCCUGUAGUCCCAGCUACUCGUGAGGCUGAGAUGGGAGGAUCGUUUGAGCCCAGGAAUUCUGGGCUGUAGUGCGCUAUGCCGAUCAGGUGUCCGCACUAAGUUCGGCAUCAAUAUGGUGAUCUCCUGGGAGUGGGGCACCACUGGGUUGCCUAAGGAGGGCGAACCAGCCCAGGUCGGAAACGGAGCAGGUCAAAACUCCUGUGCUGAUCAGUAGUGGGAUUGCGCCUGUGAAUAGCCCCCGCACUCCAGCCUGGGCAACAUAGCGAGACCCUGUCUCU
rnacentral:SRP_RNA from 1 species